rnacentral:rRNA from 1 species
UACGUAGGCAGCAAGCGUUGUUCGGAAUUACUGGGCGUAAAGAGUGUGUAGGCGGUGCUCUAAGUUUGGUGUGAAAUCUCCCGCUUAACUGGGAGGGUGCGCCGAAAACUGGAAUGCUUGAACAUGGGAGAGGAAAGCGGAAUUCCUGGUGUAGCGGUGAAAUGCGUAGAUAUCAGGAGGAACACCUGCGGUGUAGACGGCUUUCUGGACCAUUGUUGACGCUGAGACACGAAAGCGUGGGUAGCAAACAGG